CCCCAUACUGUUCUCGUGGUAGUGAAUAAGUCUCAGGAGAUCUGGUGGUUUUAUAAGGGGAAACCUCUUUCACUUGGAUCUCAUUCUGCCUUGCCUGCCACCAUGUAAGAUGUCCCUUGCUCUUCCACCAUGAUUGUGAGGCCUCUCCAGCCAUGUGAAACUGUCUGUGUAGGUUUUUUCUGGCUACUCCUGUUUCCUCCCACAUCCCAAAGGUGUGCCUAUGAGGUGAACUGCCAUGUCUACACAUCCCAGUAUGAGUGAGUGCAGGUGGUGUGCACGCGCCCUGCGAUGGGAGUGUGUCCUAUUCAGGGCUGGUUCCCGCCUUGCGCCCUAAGCUUUGGAGAUAGGCUUCGGCCACCCUCAACCCUGAACUGGAAUAAGCAGAAAACCACAUCUGGUCAGGAGCCCAGUGUGUCCCACUUGGACAAGAAUAGAAAUCUCUCUUCUGGAAUAUGACCUGAGAUAUCCUGAUGAAGCAGACCACACCUGCCCUCAGAGAUGACCUCAUGAGGAAGCUGAGCUGCAUAACAAACAUCUCUGCUGCUCAGCCACCUCCACUCUUUUUCAACAGACCUUGGAGAUAGCACAGCACCCACACCAAAAAAUCAGGAAGCUCUCUUAUCAGCAAUCUUUCUGUACCUAUGAAAUCAGACAUUCCAGCCAUGGCAGAACCUCCUGAGUGGGCCAGAGCCUCAGAGUCAGGAAAAGCUGGGGCCUAAUGAUGUUUCAAAUCAAAUCACUCUGUAGGGGAUUUUCCAUUUAACAUAUUGUGAUUGUGCAGUAACAUUAGUCUUUGCCAUUUAAUUUAUUAAAUUUUAAAAUCUUAUAAUAUCCUCAACACCGUCUUUGUCUCGAUUUAUACAUAUAACAUAUACAUUUUUAUUACAUAUUACAAACAAUUGAUAUAUAUGAAGAACUCUGUGUGUUUAAAUGCCAAUCACUGGUACACAGGCUCGAGGAAUGUAAUAUCCAGGAUUCAGUCUAGGAAACCAAAGUAAUUCUAGGUACUUGAUUGAAGAAGGUUUAAUAUUUGGAAUUUAAUGUUUUAAAAAUUAUUGAAGAGGCUGGGCACGGUGGCUCACACCUGUAAUCCCAGCACUUUGGGAGGCUGAGGCUGCCAGGUCAUGAGGUCAAG
rnacentral:lncRNA from 1 species